UCUACCUCUCUCUGCCUCUCUGUCUAUGUCUCUGUCUCUCUCUCCUUUUCUCUCCUUGCUGCAAUGAGAAGACACAGCAAGAAGACUUCUGUCUGCAAGCAAGGAAGAAGGCUCUCACCAGGAACCGAAUUGGUUAACACCUAAUUAUCUUGGACUUCCCAGCCUUUAGAACUAAAGACAACUGAAUAAAUUUGGUAGCAGAAUAGGAAGGAACAAAUACAUGAGCGUACUCGGAAUGAGAGAAGACAGCAGCAGUAAUGAAAUUUUUAGCAGCACAUGCCCACACCGUGGCCCCUUCCUGAUUCCUGUAAUGUACAUGUGGAAUCGACUGUGUAGAAGAGAAACUUCAGAGAUGCAUUGGUGUCAAUCAGGCACAUCCCUGGACCAGACUAUAUAUCCAAUUAAAGAUGUAUUGAGGACUAUCUCUCACACAUAUUGCCUGGCUAUGGGCCCUACCUUUGAGGAUGUGAUGUCUUUGGUGCCACAGACAUGCAUAAUCAGUGGACACAGAGAAAGCAUGAGUGAUUCAAAUGGACAUGGAAACAAGAACUGGAAAUUGGACGUCUGGUAUUCUCAUGGAUGGCUUGCAGGACUUCCUUAUGGGAUUUGGGUACGAAGUCUAGCAUUGAAGGGACAGUGAUAUGUAAAAUAUCCAGGACAAAGGAAACGGAAGAUACAGGUGAAAGUGAGUGAGGAAGCAGAGAAGGCAGAUCUUAGAAGCAGGGCCGACCACUACCACCAGCCCAACUGGAUAUACUGUGAAAGCUGGUUUCUUAAGGAAUUGGUUUUUUUCUGGAAAUCAGAGUCUUACCUACUGGUGAAAGGUGACAUGAGUGGAGCCAUAUUAAAAUAGAUGUGGAACAGCCAUUUCAGAGGAAUUGCCUUGCAUGUCUUGUUUUGUUUAUCUUCCAAACUGUACCAAACUGCCAACGUUUCGAGAAGUUAGUAAGGACAAGAACAUCCUGUUUGUAAGAACUGAUGAAGUUGGACUUGGCUGAUAACCAGAUCUCUAACCACUCAAU
rnacentral:lncRNA from 1 species